CUCCCUCUCAAAUUCAACGCUUCUCAAUCAACAGAAUCCCGCAAAUUUUCCAAUUUUCUUUAAUUUCUGACGGAUCUCUUCACAAAUAUCUCUCUAAAAUCCCUCCUUUUUCGCUUGUUUUCUCCAAUCUUAGUCCCUUUUCUAGGGUUCCUUCCCAUAGAUCUAGCUAUAUUUCACUCCAAUUCCUACUCCUGCACUGCCCAGUAUGCUGAAUUUCAGCUCUCUACGGCUGCAAUUUAAUGUUAGAGAGUGUGAUUAGGGUUUGAUCACGUUGUCAGGGAGUGUCAGAGACUGCACUGAACUUCGUUGUCUGUGUGUGUGUUUGUGCUUU
rnacentral:misc_RNA from 1 species